rnacentral:rRNA from 1 species
GAUGAACGCUGGCGGCGUGCUUAACACAUGCAAGUCGAACGGGAUCCGGGCUUUCGGGUUGGGUGAGAGUGGCGAACGGGUGAGUAACACGUGAGUAACCUGCCCCCUUCUUUGGGAUAACGUCGGGAAAACGGCGCUAAUACUGGAUAUUCUUGCUGCAUCGGCUGGGGGGGGUUGGGAAGGGUUUCUGGGGGGGGAUCGGCUCGGCGCCUAUCAGCUUGUUGGUGGGGUCAUGGGCUAACAAGGCUUUGACGGGUAGCCGGCCUGAGGGGGUGUCCGGCCGCACUGGGACUGCGACACGGCCCCGACUCCUACGGGCGGCAGCCGUGGGGAAGAUUGCGCGAGGGGCGCAAGCCUGAUGCAGCGACGCCGCGUGAGGGAUGACGGCCUUCGGGUUGUAACCCUCUUUCAGUAUGGAACAAGGAUCCUUCAUUUGGGGGGUUUGACGGUACGUGCAGAAGAAGCGCCGGCUAACUACGUG